GUGUCGGUGGUAUAACGGUUAGCAAAGUUGCCUUCCAAGCAAUUGACCCUGGUUCGACUCCUGGCCGAUGCA